UACAUGGGGUGCAAACGUUGCUCGGAAUUAUUGGGCGUAAAGCGCACGUAGGCGGUUUGUUAAGUCGGAUGUGAAAUCCCUCGGCUCAACUGAGGAAGUGCAUCCGAAACUGGCAAGCUUGAGUACGAAAGAGGGUCGCGGAAUUCCCGGUGUAGAGGUGAAAUUCGUAGAUAUUCGCAAGAACACCAGUGGCGAAGGCGGCUCACUGGCCCGAUACUGACGCUGAGGCACGAAAGCGUGGGGAGCAAACAGG
rnacentral:rRNA from 1 species